GAUGAACGCUGGCGGCGUGCCUAAUACAUGCAAGUCGAGCGAACAGAUGAGGAGCUUGCUCCUCUGACGUUAGCGGCGGACGGGUGAGUAACACGUGGAUAACCUACCUAUAAGACUGGGAUAACUUCGGGAAACCGGAGCUAAUACCGGAUAAUAUAUUGAACCGCAUGGUUCAAUAGUGAAAGACGGUUUUGCUGUCACUUAUAGAUGGAUCCGCGCCGCAUUAGCUAGUUGGUAAGGUAACGGCUUACCAAGGCAACGAUGCGUAGCCGACCUGAGAGGGUGAUCGGCCACACUGGAACUGAGACACGGUCCAGACUCCUACGGGAGGCAGCAGUAGGGAAUCUGCCGCAAUGGGCGAAAGCCUGACGGAGCAACGCCGCGUGAGUGAUGAAGGUCUUCGGAUCGUAAAACUCUGUUAUUAGGGAAGAACAAAUGUGUAAGUAAAUAUGCACGUCUUGACGGUACCUAAUCAGAAAGCCACGGCUAACUACGUG
rnacentral:rRNA from 1 species